CUCACCGAAUCGCGAAGAAUUUCUUUGGAGGGAACUUUAUUCAGGCACUGAUUGGGGCUCUUUUGAGUCUUCGUAGAGUUCUUCAAACGUUUAACUUUGGCGAGCAAGCGAUCGGAAUUGCGGACCACGGAUUUCUGGAAUGUUUUCAACGCGCGAAUCAAUCAUCGUGAAAUUAAUAACCCGAAGGACAAAUAAUGACUCCUACUUUUCGAUCACGAGGACCGCGAGAUGCUGCAACCCUUUCGAGAAAUCCAAUUCCAAUUGGAUCAUCACAUUGUUGGACAGAUCGAGGGCACGGAGAUGAGGCAAUCCGUCAAACGUGUCUGGUGCCAAAUGACCUAUCCCACAAUUACUCAGAUCCAACGACUGUCGAGAUAAGAAAAUUUAAUUAGAAAAACACUUGGAAAAUCGUUA